CCCCCACCCCUCUCUCAGCAGCAUGCCGGCUCCACGUUUCAGCGACGAUUCAGUAGACCGAGGGCACUCAGUUCUCCCUCUCAGUUUUGAUGUUUGCAUAAACAAGUCGCUGUUGUGCUAGUACUAUUGCCGCUUCAGUAAAAACGAGGCAUAAUUCGAGGGAUAAAUUAGUGGGCACCAUUAGAAUCAUCGACUGCUCCUGCCAGGAAUCAGUUCUAGGCUGGGCCGAUCCUGCGAGGCAGAUCCUGAACCCGCAACCUGCGGUUGGAGUCUUGUGCUGCCUCUUCCUCCCCCAUAAGUUGAUUAUCCUUUUUUCUUAGUUUCCCCCCUUGUUUUCUUGGCACUGGUUUUCUAUCAACCUAAAAAAACUUAGGAUUUGUUUGUUUCAUUUCUCUAAGAAGCCUUUUGAUCAUUGCGCCUUGUUUAGUGGAUAUUUCCCUUAGGAUUCUUGUUUUUGCUUAGUAGUCUGCAAAUGUAUGUGGUUUUUUUUAUCCGCUGGUGUGGUGUGAUGUGAUGUGGAAGACCUGUUGGGAUUUGGGAUUAUUAGAUGGAGAAAUCGGGGACUUAGAUGCCGCCGGCAGUGCCCAGCUUGCAGCUAGCGAGAAAUGGAACAGUUCUUGGCUCCGGGCAUGUCGACUGAGAUGCUCUUUCUUUGUUGUGUUGUUGUCCCUAAGAUUAUUAUCCUUGCUUUGUUGUGGAGGAGGCAUGCUUGUUUCCCCUUCUUUGCGUUUUUGUUGUUUUGAUCAAGACCUGGGGAUUCUCUUGUAAUGGCCGAGUGCUCCUUGGCAACACUGGGAGGCCAGUAUCGUGGGGGAUGGACCCAAUCCAGCGCCAAGCGCUCGCCAAGAAACAUAUCAAUUAGGAUGUCAAAGAGGUAGCUUUGUUCUUCAGUUUUUGUGAUAUCACUACUAGUAUGGACCAUAUAGAGUUAUGGGUUUAUGUACUUAUACUUCAUUUGGGCUAUUCCAUAUUUGUAGGAACUACAUUCAUAAAAUUCCCCUUCCAUGCCAGUCCAAAUUUAAUUGAGCGAAACAGCGGAAAAGCUGCGCAUUUACCUCUUAUAAGUUUCAUCGAAGGGGUUACAAGUUGGAGACUCAAGUUAGAUGUUAUUUCUUUCAAUCAAUGAUAUGUUUAGAGAGUGUGAUCUCACCAAAUCUAAUGUUGCUCUUUGAUGAAGCGCUUCUGACUGGCAGUGUAGUUUUUGCGUAUUUGGCUGGGGUUGCACCCUAUCGACCUACAAUACCCUGCACCCGAAAUCCCAGCGCCAAUCAACAUCUUACAGCACCAAUCUCCUUUGAUUCUGGUAGGAAUGGAAAACGUUUGCUUGACAAGAGUACAUCGUCUGACCCCAAUGAUACAAGGAAUGAAGUGAUGGCUAAACUUUCUGAAGCCUUAGAAGCAAAUGGUCAAGAUGCUAGUUCUGAUAGCAGAGAUGAAAGACUAAAAAUGAUAGGAAAAACUAUCCUUUGAGUAUGCUUGCAAUUCAUGGAUGUCCCAGGUUGCGGGUUCUUCUAAUCACGUUUCAACUUCUUGAAAUGGAGGCAAGAAAUGUCUCUGGAAGUUUUGAACUUCUAGAUGGGAUCAGGUGGUUGGAAGUGUCAAUUAUGUUGAUAGAUAGCUUGAUUGAACCAGCAUUUAUGAAAUGGAUCGAAGAAGAGCAAGCCCUGGAAAAUGGCAGGAUCGAUGAGAAGCUUAUGAUGGUGAUUAGUAGAAAAAUAAAGGAAGACAAUUGGAUCUUGAAGAGAUUCCACAGAUUAGGGAAAGUUGAGCUCUAUUUGGACCUACUCUUUUUCAUAAGAUUUGGUUCUGCAAGGUCUGAUAGCUAUUUUGAUACUAAAUUUCUGGCUGAAAAUGGAGCAAGGAUUUUGGAGGACCUGGUAAUUUUCUUGGCUGAUGUGAUUGCUAGUAUUUAUCUAGAGAUCAUGUCAGUUGAUGGUGACAUGCCUACUAAGGUUGUUGGCUCCAGUUUAGCUCUAUGUUCUCUAUCGAUAAGAGAACUUCAAAAGCAGCGUAAUGAGGUGGCAAUUAACGGGUGGUUGCACCAAUAUUUGAAGUUAGUUGUUUCAAUGUACGAGGACAGGUUUGAGUUACAUGAUCAUUAUCAAUGGCGACCGCAAAAAUGGCCACCGGUGGACUUCGUCGCCGUCUCCGGCCUCGUGUAUGACGCCGUCGGCGAGCUCCUACACACGGCCACCAGCGCGGUCCGUCCUGUCGUCCCCGGCCUUGUGUAUGACGCCGUCGGCGAGCUCCUACACACGGCUACCGGCGCGGUCCGUCCCGUCGUCUCCGGCCUCGUGUAUGACACCGUCAGCGAGCUCCUACACACGGCCACAGGCGCGGUCCGUCCCGUCGUCUCCGGCCUCAUGUAUGACGUCACCGUCGGGCUCCCACACACGGCCACUGCACGGUCCAUCCCAUCAUCUCCGGCCUCGUCUACAACGUCGUCGUCAAGCCUCCAGGCACGACCACCUCCUCCUGUCAGCGUCGAUCGCUAG